rnacentral:rRNA from 1 species
UACGUAGGGGGCUAGCGUUGUCCGGAAUCAUUGGGCGUGAAGCGCGUGUAGGCGGUCCGGUAAGUCCGCUGUGAAAGUCGGGGGCUCAACCCUCGGAUGCCGGUGGAUACUGUCGGGCUUGAGUACGGAAGAGGCGAGUGGAAUUCCUGGUGUAGCGGUGAAAUGCGCAGAUAUCAGGAGGAACACCAAUUGCGAAGGCAGCUCGCUGGGACGUUACUGACGCUGAGACGCGAAAGCGUGGGGAGCAAACAGG